ACAGACAUGGUAGAAAAAGUUUCAGAAUGUUCUUGUUUUAUGAUUUAAUGAGGGAUUCCCAUUGCUCAUGAUGUACUUAAUAUUAUUUAUUUAUUGUUGAUAAUCUUUUGUCUCGGAAUGAAUUUGUACUAUGGCAUGUUAUGGUACUACCAUAAAAGACUUUGUGGUAUAGACAGCAGACACACACAGGUUAACUACAGAUAACUACAGACUGAAUUGCAGCGCAUUGAUUCCCUUUAUUGUGCCUUAUCUGUGUUCUAUGUUUUAUCUAUGCAUGAUUAGAGGUAUUUGUCCUUUCAGCAAAGUCAGAUUUGUUUGAUUUAUUUGUGGUCACACUGAAGGAUAUUUAAGAAUCAUUGGAUAGACUGAUAACCAACCAGAAAUACAGUAGGUUUUAUUUUUGGACUUGGAGCUUUAUGAUCCUGUCAUUGCUUAUUCACAUUUGUCCUCACUCACAUUACACACUAAAUCCUAGAAAUGAAAUUUAUAAACAUAUGAAAUAAAUGCUCAUAUACAGUAAAAAAAACCCUCAAAUACACACAUCCUUAUCGCCCCCUUUACACACUAGUUUCACUUAUAUUCUGUAACCACAUAGAUUCUAUAAAGUCAAUAUUAUUUUGGGAUGUCCACACAUCCCUGUCUUUAAAUACAAGCUGUAUUGUUAAACUGCAUUAUUGUGUGCAAUAAAUCAUUGUAUAAAUUUAAUAAUGUAUGAAAAAAACAGGGCAUCACAAUCCAGUCACAUAGUUCAUGGCAGCAUGAUCUCGGUGCAUGAUCCUGUGUUACCAACCUGACCAACCUGGAUUUUUAUCACAUGGUUCCAAGUCUCGUUGUUUAGUCAUCACAGCGACGUGAUAAUGUGAACCUACAGGGAAUAGUACACUAGCUAGGCUGUUCAUUACUUCCUGACCCAGUGUCAGGGAUCGAGUGAGUCAACAGGGUAAUCCUGUCAAAGUUAAUGAUCGUGAAGGUUCAUAGACCUCAUCAUGACCUUCUUCAAACAUGGUUCGACACGCUGCACAGACCCUGUACAUCCAAAGAAGAAUGUGCUUUGAGACGCCUGGAGAAGUAUUCCUGAAGAUUACUUAAAGAAAGUAUAAGAAAGCUGCCUGAGAGAGUUCAGAUUGUGUUGAAGAAUAAAGAUGGUCAUACCAAAUAUUGACGAUUAUUAGCAUUGUAAAAGCUCUGAUUUUGUCUUAUAUAUUACCUAUUUCCCAUUUUUUAAAACAAAAUGUAAUAAAAUGAAGGAUGACUCCAGACCUUUGCAUAGUAUUGUAUAAACAUUUAUUUUACUCAUCAUUGUCAUGUUAAUAGUAAACGGAGCACAUAGCAUUUCAAAAAGACUGAAAUUCAACACAGUUUAAACAACAACACUUUUUACUGUAUCGAUUUUUUUGUUAUAUUACUGUUGCACAGUUUAAAGAAACUAAAGAAGACAGAUUUUUGGGGUGGUGGGGGGUUGUGUUAGCAUUACAAAGGAACUCGUGUUAAAAAGAAAUUGAUUAAGUUAAUCUUUUUGUUAAAAUCAUUUGAAUUUAUACAUUUUUACACCAUAACAUGAAACAUCAGACACAGCAGUAAAGAGCCCAGAAGGUUAAGAACUUACAAACGAGUUUCUUGUUUUCAGGGCUUCUUACUUCAUUUCACCAAAGGCACAGCAGACAGAUCUGGUGAGAUUUUGUCCUCAGGAAAGAAUAUUGACUUCUCAUAAUGUAGCCUCUUUGUCGACUUACAAAAAAGGCUCUGACUUUCUUCACGAACUUCACCAGCAUAUUUUAACUAGAAGGGUUUUUAACAUCACAGUGAACUUUGCUCAGUUUUAAUCUUUCCACCCAUGGACAUUUUCUUAGAAGAACAUGGACAGCCGGUACCAGAAACCAGGUUGAUAUUCAACCAGGUCUUACUGAUUAGUUUGCAACAGUAAUGCAACAGCGUGAAGCUAGGCUAUUACUUUCUGACCCAGUGACUUAGAUUUGCAGUCUCUCUGAAAAAGAUAGUCUAGUCAAGGUUAAUGAUCUGCAUCUGGAAGCCCACGUCACAAACUUUAUCCAGACCACCGUUAACCAACCGUGAUGGCACCAAUAUAGUUACAUGCAUUUUAAUUUUAGCUUUCCUCAUUACAGUCAUGUUAAUAGUAACUAUAGUGGGAAGGGAAAAAUCAACA